GACCUGCGGCGUGCCUAAACAUGCGAGUCGAACGGUGGAGCAGGAGCUUGCUCUGCCGAACCGUGGCGAACGGCUGAGUAACACGUAGGAAUCAACCCCCAACUCGGGGAUAACUUGGAGAAAUCCUUGAUAAUACCCGAUGUAAAGGAAACUUUAAAGAUUUAUCGGUUGGGGACGAGCCUGCGGCCUAUCAGGUAGUUGGUGGGGUAAUUGCCUACCAAGCCUAUGACGGGUAGCUGGUCUGAGAGGACGAACAGCCAGAAGGGCACUGAGNCACGGGCCCUACUAAUACGGGAGGCAGCAGUAAGGAAUAUUGCGCAAUGGACGAAAGUCUGACGCAGCGACGCCGCGUGAAGGAUGACGGUCUUCGGGAUUGUAAACUUCUGAAAAUAGCACCGGCUAACUACGUGCCAGCCAGCAGCGGUCAUUACGUAGG
rnacentral:rRNA from 1 species